CCUACGGGGGGCAGCAGUGGGGAAUAUUGCACAAUGGGGGAAACCCUGAUGCAGCGACGCCGCGUGAGUGAGGAAGUAUUUCGGUAUGUAAAGCUCUAUCAGCAGGGAAGAAAAUGACGGUACCUGACUAAGAAGCCCCGGCUAACUACGUGCCAGCAGCCGCGGUAAUACGUAGGUGACAAGCGUUGUCCGGAUUUACUGGGUGUAAAGGGCGCGUAGGCGGAUGUGCAAGUCAGUCGUGAAAUACCGGGGCUCAACCCCGGGGCUGCGAUUGAAACUGCACACCUUGAGUAU
rnacentral:rRNA from 1 species